AAUGAACGCUGGCGGCGCGCCUAAUACAUGCAAGUCGAGCGAGAAGACGUAGCAAUACGUUUGUAAAGCGGCGAACGGGUGAGGAAUACAUGGGUAACCUACCCUAGAGUGGGGAAUAACUAGCCGAAAGGUUAGCUAAUACCGCGUACGCUCCUUGGACUUCGGUUCAGGGAGGAAAGCGAUGCCGAGGGUAUCGCGCUCUUGGAUGGGCUCAUGUCCUAUCAGCUUGNGGUGAGGUAACGGCUCACCAAGGCUUCGAUGGGUAGCUGGUCUGAGAGGACGAUCAGCCACACUGGCACUGCGACACGGGCCAGACUCCUACGGGAGGCAGCAGUAAGGAAUAUUGCGCAAUGGGCGAAAGCCUGACGCAGCGACGCCGCGUGGGGGA
rnacentral:rRNA from 1 species